UCUAGUUCCUGCCGUGCGAUUCCCAUCCACUCGGCGCCCGGACACACCUUCCCCGGUGUCCGGACGUGAGGUGGCUGGGAAUCGAGCGGCAGGAACUCCGACAG
rfam:Rathayibacter toxicus strain FH142 contig_53, whole genome shotgun sequence.